CAGUCGCCACGGUAAUACGAAGGGUGCAAGCGUUAAUCGGAAUUACUGGGCGUAAAGCGUGCGCAGGCGGUUAUAUAAGACAGAUGUGAAAUCCCCGAGCUCAACCUGGGACCUGCAUUUGUGACUGUAUAGCUAGAGUACGGUAGAGGGGGAUGGAAUUCCGCGUGUAGCAGUGAAAUGCGUAGAUAUGCGGAGGAACACCGAUGGCGAAGGCAAUCCCCUGGACCUGUACUGACGCUCAUGCACGAAAGCGUGGGGAGCAAACAGGAUUAGAGACCCCUGUAGUCCCUGUCUCUUAUAA
rnacentral:rRNA from 1 species